CUGCAGGGAUUCUUGUCAUAAAUCCGGGCAAGACCACUUUCCAGAGUCCAUAAUAUUUUCUCUUAGCAGUGGCACUUUACUGCCUCUCCUCCUAUCAGAACAAUGGUCAGGAGUUCAAGGUCCUUUGGCAUAUGAGAGGGCGUGGGUAAGUGGGCGUGCAGAAGAAAACAAAUAGGACUUCAUUAUCACCUCUGCUCUAGAUGACUUCCCCGGGACGUCCCGCAGAACGCCUUGGCUGCGCGAUUUAAUCUCUGCAGCACCAAACACGACAAGUGGCGAGACUAGAAUGAUAUAGUUCUGUUAGUAGAGAUAGGAAAUCUGAAUGGAACAGUAGAAGUAGAAGGACUAUUCCUACCCCUGUUCGAUGCAACUGCACUAAUUAUUAUAAUUAUUAUUACCAAGAGUACGAAAGCGAAAGGAAGCUAUACCUGCGUAUUGGACCAUGCGCACUACUCUUCACAGAGCAGUUACUCAUCAUGGGGUAAACCCUGCUUUGACACAUUAAAACACGUAGACUACUGCUGCUGCUGCUAUUGCUGCUGCUGCUGCUGCUAUUGCUGCUACUGCUGCUGCUGCAGCUAAAGCGCCCUCUUGGAUCAGUCAGAGCGCACGGGUCGGACGGAUGCUGCUCUCAGCGCCUGGGCAGGUGCAUGGAGGCGCGGGACACUGAGCGUGAGAAAAGCCGAACUGCCUGCAGAUAAACAUAUUCCACAGAAGAGUUCUUUCAUCCUCAGAUGUGUGGCUUGGAAGGGCGCAAUUUUCAUUUGCAAAUCACUAAAUUUUCCUACAAUUCACACACGCGAUGACCAAACGAAGGUGGGAACCGUAGAAGUGAUGGAGGCGCAGCGCAUUUGGAAGACGGCGUUGUUGUAGUGAGACGCACAUAAAGGCUCGGAGAUCUCUGUUGGCCACUGCUUUGUUGGGUUCUCGGUAACAGGGCCACGGGUUAGUCAGAGUGAUGUCCGGUGGGCUUUUUUCCGAGCAGUCCCUCUACAUUGGGAUGGAGGUGCUGAUCGCAGUCGCGUCUGUUGUCGGGAACGUGAUGGUGGUCUGGGCGGUGAAAAUUAAUAAAUCGCUACGAGAUACCACCUUUUGUUUCAUCGUGUCGCUGGCUUUGGCGGAUAUUGCGGUGGGAGCCCUCGUCAUCCCCCUGGCCAUCAUGAUGAGCAUUGGACUUCAAACUCACUUUUACAGCUGCCUGCUCGGGGCGUGCACCGUGCUGGUGCUGACGCAAAGUUCAAUCCUCGCCCUGCUGGCCAUCGCAAUUGACCGCUAUCUCAGGGUCAAGAUCCCGACCAGGUACAAGCGAGUGGUUACCCCACGGAGAGCAGGAAUUGCAGUUGUGAUAUGUUGGACGGUGGCCUUUAUCGUGGGCCUGACGCCCAUGUUAGGCUGGAACAACCUGAACAAUCACCUUCAGCAAACUAACAACAGCAACUCCAACCUCAUCAUCACCUGCCUGUUUGAAAAUGUCAUCAGCAUGGACUACAUGGUUUACUUCAACUUCUUUGGAUGGGUGCUGCCGCCUCUGCUCCUCAUGCUGGUUAUCUACGCAGAAAUCUUCUACAUGAUCCACAAGCAGCUCAACAGCAAGAAGUUCACCAGCAACCACACGGAUCCCAACAAGUACUAUGACAAGGAGCUGAAUCUGGCCAAGUCCCUGGCUCUGGUCCUUUUCCUUUUUGCGAUCAGCUGGCUCCCUCUUCACAUUAUCAACUGCAUCUCACUCUUCUGCCCUGACUGUCAGAAGCCCAUAGUCCUGAUUUACAUCGCCAUUUUUCUCACACAUGGCAACUCUGCAGUCAACCCCAUUGUCUAUGCCUUCAGGAUUAAAAAGUUCCGCACAGCCUUCCAGAAAAUCUGGCAGCAGUACUUCUGCUGCAGGGACACAUCAGGUCUAGAGAUACAGCCCAGUGACAGGAAAGACAUGUCCCACAUGGAGCCAGUGCAGGCAGCGCCAACUCAGCCGACUCAGAAAGAAGUUGUUCAUUCUGAUCCACCGGAGCCUCAGCAGUCACCACCUGAGCAGCAGCAGCAAAACCAUUCGACAGAACCGCUGUAGCAGCCCAAAGAACAGCCGUUGUUACGCGAGGAAAACACUGUGUAAGCCAAGGCACAAGACUGAUUUCUGGAUGUAAAAGUAAUGAUCAGCGCACAGGCAUUGGCUCGCUCGUGUGCGGAGAGGUGCUAGCAUGCUGUCCUGGCGGUAAUUACAUGGACAGUACAUUUUGGGAGAUUGUUUUUCUUAAACUCCGGAGAAGUGAAUUAAUUGGACAAAGAAGGCUUAAAGGGUUUCGACUUAUACUGCAAUAACUCAAGUCUUUUUGACCAAGAUGCUGUCGGACUCUUAGUAUUGGACUGAAGAUAAUGAGCUUUAGCUGAUACGUUCGUUGUGGAUGACACGUGCAAUGUAAGUUAUUGUGGUAUGAGAUUAUGGAAUAUUUAAAGUAGAACUUUUUUUUUACGUAUAGUGGAGCUUCAUUCAUCUUACUACUGCAAUACUUUGCAUAUGUAAAACUAAGGCUGUAGGUAGCAGAAGAAUAUGAAUGUAAUGAUUAUGUAAAUAGGAGGAGGGUAACAGCACAGCUGUGAAUGCUCAUCUCUUCUUCAGGGUCUUUAUAGCACAACAGUGGCAGAACAAGCAGCACUACGGGAGUAAUCUGUACUGCAGGGCAGUUUGUACGUGCAGAUACAAGGCUUCUGUGAUGCCAUAAUUCUAACCCACCAGAGGAGAGUCCUUGGUGAUCCAACAGCACUGAUCUAUUAGAAGGAGAUGGCCAAUGAUAAGACAGCAGAGCUGACUGGAAUAGAAGCUUUCUAUUGUGCUGGCCAUUUGUGUCUGUAGGAGGGAAGCUGGUCGUGAGGGAGGGAAACAAAGAUGCACUCAAAGCUCAUGUUUACCCAGACUUCAUACCAGCUGGUGUGAAUGUGACCCCCUCCGCCCCCCCUUCUCCUUUUCUUUACCCGGACUGCUAAUAACUUAAUUACAAAUGACCACUAGAGACGAUGGCCUUAUUCUUUGUUCAAAUGAGUUUGGACUGGACCAGAAGAGUCGUCGCUGAGAUUCUCUCUUCUAGAUCCUCAGACUGCUGCUGUGAUAGAGUGCCAUCUGCUGGUGAAAGUUAUUUUCAGUACUUUACUGCAGUACAGAGUGACCGUCGGGGGAAAUGUCAGGUCUGAUCCGGCUUAGUGAUGAAGUCUAACAAGGUCACAGCUGGUUCUUUCAUUAAACUUCUCCCACCGGUCCUGAUGACCAGGUCAGCAUCUGCAGAUAUUUAUUCAAAUUCCUCCGAAGGCUCAUCCAGAGGACUGCUCAAGUCCUUGAAUGUCUUACUGAUUUUCCAGACACAUGUGGGAUCAGCAUAUGAAGCAAAUACAUAAUGUUCCACCGUACAGUGAAGUGUCACCCAAAUGCAGCCUCAGUAAACAUCCUCAGGGCAAAUCCUCCGAAAAAUUAAAAUUAAAAGCCACAGAUUGACACAUUCUUGUGACACGUUCGUUUUCCACUUAACACUUUUGUAAGGUGGCGGGGCCCAGGAUAUGGUACAGCUCUCACAGUUUACCAUAUAUAUGGAGAUAAACAACUGUUCAACUCAAACCUAUAGUCAAUCUGAAAUAAUCAAUAAACCUAAAACUCUAAUCACCACUCAGUGUUUUAACACCUUGGAUUCAAGCAGUGAUCGUGCUGUUGUGCAGUGGUUCUCAAAGUCUUUGGGCAUUCCUUAUUCCUUAGAGUUCAAUUGUGGGUCCUCUGGCAACUAUGUAUAGCACAGUGACAGUGUGUGUGUGUGUGUGUGAUUUCAUGUGAAUACAGGAACAUCUUUUGGAUCAGAAUUCCAUCAUCUCUGUGUGAGAUAAGCAGGAACUUCAAACAUUGUUUUUUUUGUUGUUUGUUUUGUUUACAACUCUGUCCUGACAGACGGGGUGGUGUGUGUGAUAUAAAUAGAUGAUAAAGUGUGCGUUCAUUGAAGUGCAAAUUUUUGUUUUUAGAUUUCAGUCUGCUGUGAGUCCAUUCCGUGGCAUCCUACAAAAUCCUAACAGAGAUGACGUGGACAGUAACAGUCUUGUAUCACACCAAAAUGGUCAUUGGUCCUAAUUAUUAACAAGGUUUGGUUCCAGAAAAAAAUAUUUGCUGCUUCAUGUUGUCGUCUUUUCUAAUAAAUGCAUAAAUAAAUAAAUAAAUACACACAAUAGUUGUGUUCUUGACUCCUUAGUAUAAAAACAGACUGUUGUAUGAUUUCUUUAUUGUUCAGUCAGCAGCUCCUUUGUGGAUGUUGUGAAAGGAGACGUGGAGAUGGUUGGUGUGAAGAAGAAGAAGAAGAAAGUCUGCAGCUCAGUCGGAGGUAAAGAGACAAAACAGAUGCUUUGGGUUGACCAACAGUUUGCAUGUAUUUAUACUCAAUGAAUUUGAAAAAACACUCCUCUAUACUACUAUAUAUACACUAAUACUAGACAUUGUUUCUUUUCUUUUGGUUCUUUCCUCGAGGAACCCCCUUCAGCCUCCUCCACAUCAACAGAAGCUACAUCCAUCAUGACCAGCGGGGGUCUUGCUGCUUCACUAAGACGAUGUCCAGCUCUGUGAUGACACAGUGUGCAACCUCAUGCUCAGCCUGCAGAAGGGGAAGUUUUUGAAGCCAGACACACAAAAAAGUGUCUUUUUCUGAGGUUCUGUGCCAGAUGUAUUUUGGGAGCAGAGUGGUGAAGCCAAAUUAAAUGUGGCAUUUGUUAAAAUACACGGAGCCAUAUUCAUUAAGGCUGUGACGCCAUGACAAAUUAGUGGCAGAUGUUUCCAAAGGACGCUCAGGGAACUGCUGAGAAGACGCAUAAAAAAGAAUAACCUUGCAUCAAAAAGCCUUGUGUCAAAGAUUCUGUUUGAAGCUGCUUCACUCUGAAUUAAACAUAACCUGUUCCAUACAGUACAUGGGUGUAAAAUAUACAUUUUAUUACCCGAGCCGGUACAUUUAUUGUUUGUACUCAGGCUUGUUGUUAAAAAUGCCAUUUAAAUAAUUACAGUCAUCAAACACAAACACUAUAGUUUCCUCCCACGGGUAAAAUAGUCAGUGCCCCAAAAAUCAAACAUGGCUGGACUGGGGGAUAAAUAAUGUCAUUCAGUUUAACUAUAUUCCAUUGUUUCCCAAAGACUGGGUCUCGACCCUCAGGUGGGUUGCAAGAGAUUUUUUUUUUUGGGUCGUCUCGCAUCAUGUUUCCCAGGAGUUUAAAAAUAAUGUCUAUUGACUUGGGUGGCGAAGGUUUGUGACUUUUGCAAUAUAGGUCCCCAGAAAAUAAGUUUAGGAAACACUGAUCUAUUCAGUGUCCAUUUAAAACAUUCAUUCUUUAUUUCCUAAUAUUCAAUACUAUGUUUAACAUUUCCACAUGAUAUACGGGAGACCUGUCCAAGUUGACCCCCUCUCCUCACCCAGUGAUCCUUAAGAUCAUCCCUGACCUCUAACAAAAAAUAAAAUGGUAUAAGACAAGGCGAUAAAUUUGUAUUAGCAUUACAACAUCAAUAACAAAUUAAAUAAAAAGAUCAUUCAAAAAGACGCACCAACAAGGAGAACAGAUGAGGUUCUUUAUUCAAAUACAAUUGAAGCAGAUAAAAUAAAAUAGCCAUGGGAAAAUUGCAUGUUGGCAGACGAUGAAUCAACAAAUGAUAAGUAUAAUCAUGCAACACUGAACGGUGUGGACAUAUAGGUUGACGAAUAUCCUCAAACACGUCAACAACGGGUUAGCAAAUGGGGUGGAAAUUUGAAACCAUAUGUUCUAUAUCAACCACAUCAGGAAACCAUAUGAGGAAGUGCUCACCUCCUCAUUAAACCACACAUUGCUCAACCACUUAAUUUGGAAAUUCAUAUGAACACCAUAUUCUUUACUACAAGUAAAUACUAUUACUUUAGUAUAAGGUAAAGAACCGGACAGUCUGCAAAUGAUGAUUCACUGCAAUGGAUCAUCAUUAAUCAGAUGAGUUUAAUCUCAUCUACAUCUAAACAUUAGAUUAGAUUAGAUGACUGAUUCAUUUUAGGUUUGAUCAUCCCACAUGGGGAAAUUGUCAUGUUGCAGCAACAAAUGACAGUUGAAUAGAUGAGAAAAUAAAUACAAGAUAAAAAUGUAAAGGAAAGUAAUUAAACAAUGUUUUAAAAAGUAUAGAAAUACCAGAAUACUACAAAUUUGGAAGAUAUUUGUUUUCAAAAAUGUACACAAAAUACAUUUCUUUAAUCUACAUUAUUGCUGCAUGUAUUGUUUUGUUAAAUACUGAUUACUCCUCCAGUACAUCGAGGUAAUGUUUCGGGCGUAAAACUCCCUUUUGUACAUCUGUAAAAACUAUGGAAAACAAACAUUAAUAAUUAGUUACAUCUCAGGUCAGGUGGUGCU